rnacentral:rRNA from 1 species
CAAUAGCGUAUAUUAAAGUUGUUGCGGUAAAAAAGCUCGUAGUUGGAUUUCUACCGAAGAUAGCCGGUCGGGUCUUCGACCUUGUAUCUGGUUUUGUCUUUGAUAUCCUCAUAGGGAACGUUUCUGCGCUUUAUUGCGUGGUGCGGUAUCUAUGACUUUUACUUUGAGGAAAUUAGAGUGUUCACGGCAGGCAAACGCCUUGAAUAUAUUAGCAUGGAAUAAUAACAUAGGAUCUUCGUCCUAUUUUGUUGGUUUCUAGGGCUAAGAUAAUGAUUAAUAGGGAUAAUUGGGGGCAUCUGUAUCAACGCGUCAGAGGUGGAAUUCUUGGAUUGCGUUGCGACAAACUACUGCGAAAGCAUUUGCCAAGGAUGUUUUCAUUGA